UAUUCCCAAAUGUGUCACUACUUAAAAAGUUCUUAAGCUUUGCAAGCUCCUGUCUCACCACACCAGCCCUCUACAAUGUCCAACACAAACGAAUCAGAUCGAUACAUAACCAUCACAACGGUAAAAAGAUUAUGCAAUCACACCUUGAUCUUUGCCAACAUGAGCUUAAACCUGUCAAAAUCGUUGAGUGAGACCAUCCUCUUCUGCAUGAUCAACUUCCUUUCUCAGGAACUGGACUCUCCUACUUGGUCUUCACAUCUGUGAGGACAUAAAGCAAAUGAGAGUUAGUCAAGUUCUUACGUAACCCUGUCGUUAGCCAAAUGACUCAAAUUUACAAUUUUUUGGCUGAUGAAAACCAUUUUUCCUAAUCAAAAAUUCAAAUUUGAAUACUGCAAUUCAGCCAACAUACACAUAUCUUGAUCUAGCUCGACCACUGUUUCCAGUGAUAUGUAUUUUCUGAGGGGACUAAUUAACAUAUAGUCUAGUCACUUUAGUAUUUAGUAUUGUAACUCUAGUGUCACGACCCGAUUUCUCAAGUCAUGAUGACACCUACUAUAAUCCACCAGUAGGUAAGCCAACCCGUAACCCGGAACAACAAGUAAUGGGUCUGAGGGUAGAAACUAAACAAGCGUAGGCAAAUAACAAUAUAAACAGGCGGAAGCAAACCAAAAACAUAUAUACAAAUAAAGAUCCCUCCCAGAACCUGGAAGUCACUAGUACAGAGCUACUAACAAAAUGAGUACAAGUCCCAAAAGUGGACAACAGAGACUGGACUGUCUCAAAAGGUAAAAGACAAGUCUAUAUAUACAGAUGGAGACUGAAAUAGUACAAAACGUCGUGUGCUCACUCCCGUCUCCGGAUCAGUCUGCUCCAAGCUCGAUCAACGCUGGCUACUAGUGCCCGGACCUGCAUCACGAAAUAGAUGCAGAGCGUAGCAUGAGUACCAAAACAACCGGUACCCAGUAGGCAGCAUAGGCCGACUGAACUUGAAAAGUAAAGGCAAUAUGAAAAGAAGGAAUAACACAAACCGAAGUCAAGAACUAAAAUCUAACUAACAAUGGAAUGCACACGAGUGUACAAAGAACUAACUAAAGUAAUCUACAAGCUAACUACACUUAACUGGACCCCCAUAAGCGCAGAAGGUACACUCGUGCGCAAGUUAAAUAAAAACCCGAACGG
rnacentral:lncRNA from 1 species